AGUGAACGCUGGCGGUAGACCUAACACAUGCAAGUCGAACGGCAGCACAGUAAGAGCUUGCUCUUACGGGUGGCGAGUGGCGGACGGGUGAGGAAUACAUCGGCAUCUACUUUUUCGUGGGGGAUAACGUAGGGAAACUUACGCUAAUACCGCAUACGACCUACGGGUGAAAGCAGGGGAUCUUCGGACCUUGCGCGAUUGAAUGAGCCGAUGUCGGAUUAGCUAGUUGGCGGGGUAAAGGCCCACCAAGGCGACGAUCCGUAGCUGGUCUGAGAGGAUGAUCAGCCACACUGGAACUGAGACACGGUCCAGACUCCUACGGGAGGCAGCAGUGGGGAAUAUUGGACAAUGGGCGAAAGCCUGAUCCAGCCAUACCGCGUGGGUGAAGAAGGCCUUCGGGUUGUAAAGCCCUUUUGUUGGGAAAGAAAAGCAGCAGGUUAAUACCCCGCUGUUCUGACGGUACCCAAAGAAUAAGCACCGGCUAACUUCGUG
rnacentral:rRNA from 1 species